rnacentral:lncRNA from 1 species
UCUCAAGAGAUCCACCCACCUCGGCCUCCCAAAGUGCUGGGAUUACCUGCAUGAGCCACUGCACCUGGCUUCAGCCCUUUGUUUUAUCCAAGAGAAGGUCAAGAGCAGAUAAAUUGGAUCUGUGCCCGCAGAGAGAGCCUGCUCCAGCCUCUUUGCUACAGCCUUGAGUCUUCUGCUAAGAAAAGACACAGAGGCAAAGAGAAACACAUAGAGAGGAGAAUGCCUCGUGAAAAUGGAGACCGAGAUUGGUGCAAUGUGUCCACAAGCCAGGGAAUGCCAACGUGGCCAGCAACCACCAGAAGCUGGGAGAGAGGCAUGGAACAG